rnacentral:tRNA from 1 species
GGAGAGAUGCCAGAGUGGUUGAAUGGGGCGGUCUCGAAAACCGUUAUACGAGGAUUUGUAUCGAGGGUUCGAAUCCCUCUCUCUCCGCCA